GAAACUAACAAGGAUUCCCCUAGUAGCGGCGAGCGAAGCGGGAAGAGCUCAAAUUUAUAAUCUGGCACCUUCGGUGUCCGAGUUGUAAUCUCUAGAAGUGUUUUCCGCGUUGGACCGCACACAAGUCUGUUGGAAUACAGCGGCAUAGUGGUGAAACCCCCGUAUAUGGUGCGGACGCCCAGCGCUUUGUGAUACACUUUCAAUGAGUCGAGUUGUUUGGGAAUGCAGCUCAAAUUGGGUGGUAAAUUCCAUCUAAAGCUAAAUAUUGGCGAGAGACCGAUAGCGAACAAGUACCGUGAGGGAAAGAUGAAAAGCACUUUGGAAAGAGAGUUAACAGUACGUGAAAUUGUUGGAAGGGAAACGCUUGAAGUCAGACUUGCUUGCCGGAGCUUGCUUCGGUUUGCAGGCCAGCAUCAGUUUUCCGGGGUGGAUAAUGACGGUUUGAAGGUAGCAGUCUCGGCUGUGUUAUAGCUUUCCGUUGGAUACGCCCUGGGGGACUGAGGAACGCAGCGUGCUUU
rnacentral:rRNA from 1 species